UACGAAGGGCGCUAGCGUUGGUCGGAAUCACUGGGCGUAAAGCGCGCGUAGGCGGCUUUUCAAGUCAGGGGUGAAAGCCCACAGCUUAACUGUGGAAUUGCCUUUGAAACUGUAAAGCUUGAGUGUCGGAGGGGAUAGCGGAAUUGCUAAUGUAGAGGUGAAAUUCGUAGAUAUUAGCAGGAACACCGGUGGCGAAGGCGGCUAUCUGGACGACAACUGACGCUGAGGCGCGAAAGCGCGGGGAUCAAACAGG
rnacentral:rRNA from 1 species